UCUGCCUGGUAGUGGGGGAUAACGUUCGGAAACGGACGCUAAUACCGCAUACGUCCUACGGGAGAAAGCAGGGGACCUUCGGGCCUUGCGCUAUCAGAUGAGCCUAGGUCGGAUUAGCUAGUUGGUGGGGUAAUGGCUCACCAAGGCGACGAUCCGUAACUGGUCUGAGAGGAUGAUCAGUCACACUGGAACUGAGACACGGUCCAGACUCCUACGGGAGGCAGCAGUGGGGAAUAUUGGACAAUGGGCGAAAGCCUGAUCCAGCCAUGCCGCGUGUGUGAAGAAGGUCUUCGGAUUGUAAAGCACUUUAAGUUGGGAGGAAGGGUUGUAGAUUAAUACUCUGCAAUUUUGACGUUACCGACAGAAUAAGCACCGGCUAACUCUGUGCCAGCAGCCGCGGUAAUACAGAGGGUGCAAGCGUUAAUCGGAAUUACUGGGCGUAAAGCGCGCGUAGGUGGUUUGUUAAGUUGGAUGUGAAAUCCCCGGGCUCAACCUGGGAACUGCAUUCAAAACUGACUGACUAGAGUAUGGUAGAGGGUGGUGGAAUUUCCUGUGUAGCGGUGAAAUGCGUUAGAUAUAGGAAGGAACACCAGUGGCGAAAGCGACCACCUGGACUAAUACUGACACUGAGGUGCGAAAGCGUGGGGAGCAAACA
rnacentral:rRNA from 1 species